GACGCCGCGUGAGGGAUGACGGCCUUCGGGUUGUAAACCUCUUUCAGCAGGGAAGAAGCGAGAGUGACGGUACCUGCAGAAGAAGCACCGGCUAACUACGUGCCAGCAGCCGCGGUAAUACGUAGGGUGCGAGCGUUGUCCGGAAUUAUUGGGCGUAAAGAGCUCGUAGGCGGCUUGUCGCGUCGAUUGUGAAAGCCCAGGGCUUAACCCUGGGUCUGCAGUCGAUACG
rnacentral:rRNA from 1 species